AUUGAACGCUGGCGGCAGGCCUAACACAUGCAAGUCGAACGGUAGCACAGAGAGCUUGCUCUCGGGUGACGAGUGGCGGACGGGUGAGUAAUGUCUGGGAAACUGCCUGAUGGAGGGGGAUAACUACUGGAAACGGUAGCUAAUACCGCAUAAUGUCGCAAGACCAAAGAGGGGGACCUUCGGGCCUCUUGCCAUCGGAUGUGCCCAGAUGGGAUUAGCUAGUAGGUGGGGUAACGGCUCACCUAGGCGACGAUCCCUAGCUGGUCUGAGAGGAUGACCAGCCACACUGGAACUGAUACACGGUCCAGACUCCUACGGGAGGCAGCAGUGGGGAAUAUUGCACAAUGGGCGCAAGCCUGAUGCAGCCAUGCCGCGUGUAUGAAGAAGGCCUUCGGGUUGUAAAGUACUUUCAGCGGGGAGGAAGGCGAUAAGGUUAAUAACCUUGUCGAUUGACGUUACCCGCAGAAGAAGCACCGGCUAACUCCGUGCCAGCCGCCGCCGUAAAAC
rnacentral:rRNA from 1 species